AGGGAUGUAGCUCAAGGGUAGAGCACUUGCCUAGCAUGUAUGAGAUCUGAGUUCAACCCCCCAGUAUCACAA
rnacentral:tRNA from 1 species